CCUAACACAUGCAAGUCGAACGGUAACAGGAAACAGCUUGCUGUUUCGCUGGCGAGUGGCGGACGGGUGAGUAAUGUCUGGGAAACUGCCUGAUGGAGGGGGAUAACUACUGGAAACGGUAGCUAAUACCGCAUAACGUCGCAAGACCAAAGAGGGAGACCCUCGGGCCUCUUGCCAUCGGAUGUGCCCAGAUGGGAUUAGCUUGUUGGUGGGGUAACGGCUCACCAAGGCGACGAUCCCUAGCUGGUCUGAGAGGAUGACCAGCCACACUGGAACUGAGACACGGUCCAGACUCCUACGGGAGGCAGCAGUGGGGAAUAUUGCACAAUGGGCGCAAGCCUGAUGCAGCCAUGCCGCGUGUAUGAAGAAGGCCUUCGGGU
rnacentral:rRNA from 1 species